GAUAAAAUAUUGUGACCUAGAGA
rnacentral:piRNA from 1 species